rnacentral:rRNA from 1 species
UACGAAGGGGGCGAGCGUUGUUCGGAAUCACUGGGCGUAAAGCGUGCGUAGGCGGCUAUGAAAGUCGGGAGUGAAAUCCCCAGGCUCAACUUGGGAAUCGCUUUCGAAACCUCAUAGCUUGGAAUCCGGGAGAGGAUAGCGGAAUUCCCAGUGUAGCAGUGAAAUGCGUAGAUAUUGGGAGGAACACCAGUGGCGUAAGCGGCUAUCUGGACCGGCAUUGACGCUGAGGCACGAAAGCGUGGGGAUCAAACAGG